AUUCCAGCUCCAAUAGCGUAUACUAAAGUUGUUGCAGUUAAAAAGCUCGUAGUUGAAUUUCUGGAUGCGAAAGAUGGUCGGCACCUCACGGUGUCUGUACUUUUCAUUCGCGUCCAUCCUCGGGAGGAACGUGUGGGGCUUUAAGUAGUUCUGCUCGGGAAUCUCGUCAUUUACUGUGAGCAAAAUAGAGUGUUCAAAGCAGGCUUAUGCCGUUGAAUAUAUUAGCAUGGAAUAAUAAGAUACGACUUUGGUCUAUUUUGUUGGUUUGCAUUCCAAAGUAAUGAUUAAUAGGGAUAGUUGGGGGUAUUCGUAUUCAAUUGUCAGAGGUGAAAUUCUUGGAUUUAUGGAAGACGAACUACUGCGAAAGCAUUUACCAAGGAUGUUUUCAUCG
rnacentral:rRNA from 1 species